GAAUUCCCAGCUUGUUAAGAAUUGAAUUGAAUGCUGUAGGUUCAAGAGGCUUAGUAAAGAAAUCUGCCAGCAUAUUUGAUGAAGAUAUGGGCAAGAGUUUGAACAAUCCAGCUUGCAGUUUGUCCCGAACAAUGUGACAAUCAAUUUCUAUAUGUUUUGUUCUCUCAUGGAAUGUUGGAUUUGACGCAAUGUUCCUGGCUGAUUGAUUAUCGCAAUAAAGAGUCGUAGGGGCAGAACAAUCCAUGUUUAAUUCUUGCAAAAGAAAUGUUAUCCAUUGAAUUUCACAAGUUGUUGAUGCUAAUGCUCUAUAUUCUGCUUCUGAAGAUGAACGAGAUACAGUGCUUUGUUUCUUAGACCUCCACGAAAUCAAUGAUGAACCAAGAAAUAUACAAAACCCAGUAACAGACCUUCUUGUUUCUGGGCAGGUUGCCCAAUCAGAGUCGCUAAAUGCUCGCAGUUGAAGCCGGGACGCCGAUGAGUAAAACAAUCCUUGAGCUGGUGCAGUUUUUAUGUAUUUGAGGAUCCUCAUGGCUGCCAUGUAAUGGUCUUCAGUCGGUGAUUGCAUAAAUUGACUAAGUUGUUGCACGGCGAAGGUGAUAUCAGGUCGUGUGUUGGUCAAGUAGAUAAGACGUCCAAUAAUUCUUCUAAAAGAGGUUGAGUCAUGAGGCUGUGCCUUUGAGUUGUAUAGAAAUUUGUUGUCCUUGAUCAUAGGUGUAUUGCAAGGUUUAACGCCUAAUAAUCCAACGUCUGAUAAGAUAUCGAGAGCAUAUUUACGUUGACAUAUGUGAAUACCCUCCCUUGAACGAGAGAUCUCCAAUCCAAGAAAGAACUUUAAGUCCCCAAGGUCUCUAAUCUGAAAAGAAGAAUUUAAAAAGGUUUUAAUCGUAUUGACUAAAAGAGGUUGAGUCAUGAGGUUGUGCCUUUGAGUUGUAUAGAAAUUUGUUGUCCUUGAUCAUAGGUGUAUUGCAAGGUUUAGCGCCUAAUAAUCCAGCGUCUGACAAGAUAUCGAGAGCAUAUUUACGUUGACAUAUGUGAAUACCCUCCCUUGAACGAGAGAUCUCCAAUCCAAGAAAGAACUUUAAGUCCCCAAGGUCUCUAAUCUGAAAAGAAGAAUUUAAAAAGGUUUUAAUCAUAUUGAUCUCUAAUUCAGAAUUACCUGCAAUAAUAAUAUCAUCUACGUAAACCAACAAAAUAGUAAAAGAUUUUAAUGUUUUGAAAAUGAAUAAGGAAUGAUCAUGUUUUGAAUGUUGAAAACCAAAUGAUAUCAAAGCACAAGAUAAUUUGGCAAACCAUUGUCGACUCGCUUGUUUUAAACCAUACAAUGAUUUUUUUUAAACGACAAACUUUAUUAUUAUUAUGACUCAAAUAACCAGGAGGAAGUUUCAUAUAAACUUCCUCAUGAAGGUCACCAUGAAGAAAAGCGUUACUAACAUCUAACUGUUUUAAAAACCAAUUAUUAGUGGCAGCCAAAGCAAGAAGCAAUCUAACAGUAGUUAAUUUGGCCAAAGGCGAAAAAGUGUCUAGAAAAUCAACACCUUCUAAUUGAGUGAAACCUUUAGCAACAAGUCUAGCCUUGUGCCUUUCAAUAGUACCAUCAGCCCUAUGCUUAAUCUUAUAAACCCACCUACAUCCUAUGACAUGUUUAUCUUUAGGCAAGUCAACUAAUUCCCAAGUGUUAUUAGAUUCUAAAGCUGUAAUUUCAUGUUGCAUAGCAAUGACCCAAUCCUUAGAUUUAAUGGCUUCAUGAUAAGUUUGGGGUUCAACAGCACUAGUCAUGGCAUGAAUGUAUUUUAAAUGAGUAGAAGAAAAAGAUUUAUAAGACAAAACAGAAGAUAAAGGAUAUAAAACAGCAUCAGUUGUAGAGUUAGUAGCAGUACCUGAAGAGUUUAAAAUAUUACAAUGAAAGUCCUG
rnacentral:lncRNA from 1 species